UCCCCCAGUUGCAAGCCUCCUUUCUGAUCAUUAGGACUGAUAUAACUUAGGGCUGGCUACUCUAGGGUCAUAAACUGUAAAUGUUUAAUCUCAGAUAAGGGGGAGAUCUUCUAUUUCAGACAUCCUGGUUCCUAAGUCCUCCUAAGUUAUAAAGAAUUUACACUCCAGGGACAGCUAGGUGGUGCAGGGGAUAGAGCACCAGCCCUGAAGUCAGGAGGACCUGAGUUCAAAUGUGACCUCAGAAACUUAACACUUCCUAGCUGUGGGACCCUGGGGAAAUCACAACACCAAUUGCCUCAACAACAACAAAAAGAAGAAUUUAUGGGCCUCACCCUCAACCUGUCAGAACAGACUCUAUGGUCCACUGACCAAUGCUCUACCCCCAACCCUCUCUGCUUUUGUCUCUCCUGAUCUCUAGAGUCCUAUAAAGAGAAGAAUCCCUGGAAUUCUUCACUUGUUGAAACUUGAGUCCCAUUCAGAAUAUUUAAAACUCUCUAAUCUCUAUCUUGCCUCAAUUUCUCCAGCUCCAGAACUCCCCUUCUUGCUUCUACUCUUAAGGUUUCUUGCUACUUGCUGUAUAUAUUCAUCAGGAAAUGGUAUUAGUUGGGAAUUCAAGUGCUGAAUGAGAAGGGUUUCAAACUCUGGACAUAAACC
rnacentral:lncRNA from 1 species